AUGUUGACUUAUCUAAAUGGAACCGUGAUUGGAAGCAGACAGUGCAUCUUUCUUGGGGUCACAGUCCAGGAUAUAACCAUGAAUUUUUCGAGCGAUGAUGUCAAAGUGUUUUGUCCAACUGCAAAUUCGCCAAGAAAAGAUUAUUAUGACAAAGAUUUGACACUCCUCUUCCAAGAGAGCAUAGAAAUUGCUUGCAGAUGGGAUUACAAAGGAGUUAAACCUGGAACAACUUUCGCAGAAGAGUGCUUCGUCUCGAGGAUGCCAUUUGUAAUGAAACGAAUCAGCUCAUGGUAG